UACGUAGGGUGCGAGCGUUGUCCGGAAUUACUGGGCGUAAAGAGCUCGUAGGCGGUUUGUCGCGUCGUCCGUGAAAACUUGGGGCUCAACCCCAAGCUUGCGGGCGAUACGGGCAGACUUGAGUACUGCAGGGGAGACUGGAAUUCCUGGUGUAGCGGUGAAAUGCGCAGAUAUCAGGAAGAACACCCAUGGCGAAGGCAGCUCUCUGGGACGGUACUGACGCUGAGACGCGAAAGCGUGGGGAGCGAACAGG
rnacentral:rRNA from 1 species